rnacentral:rRNA from 1 species
GGACUACCGGGGUUUCUAAUCCUGUUUGCUCCCCACGCUGUCGCGCAUCAGCGUCAGCAACUGCCCAGCAGGCCGCCUUCGCCACUGGUGUUCUUCCGGAUCUCUACGCAUUCCACCGCUACACCCGGAAUUCCACCUGCCUCUACAGUGCUCAAGUCCACCAGUUCGCACGGCAGACCUGGGGUUGAGCCCCAGGCUUUCACCGCACGCUUAGCAGACCGCCUACGCGCCCUUUACGCCCAGUGAUUCCGGACAACGCUCGCACCCUCCGUAUUACCGCGGCUGCUGGCAC